GACGAGGUAGCUCAAUUGGACAGAGCAAUGAGAAUAUUAGUCAUGUUUGUGACUAUAACAGCAAUUUACUCCAUUACAAGGCAUAGGUUGGUGGUUCGAAUCCAUCCCUCGUCA
rnacentral:tRNA from 1 species